CACCAUUGCCAUGCCUCUGUGUGCUCCAGAGUAUUCGGUGGUACAGGUCCAAGGGAUGGAUGCCAUGGAGAUAAAGUCCCUGGCCCAGGGCCCCCCAGCCCGAGGGGCAGGAGACCUUUCCAUGCCUCUGGGAUGUUUUUGUUUAUUUCUAACUCUGAGCUCCUUCUCUGUGGGGGAGGAGCUUCCCUUUCCGUCUCCAGGGCUGCUGAGAAAAUGUUGGACAGAGGAAGGAAGGCAGGGCAGGGCCAGGCUGCAGCUAGCAUCUGGACUGUUGGCUAAGGCUGGUGAUGGCACAGAAGACCCUUGCCCCCUUUUACAGCUUCUCGCCUAGAAGCCUGGCCCAGAUGCCUGAAUUCCCACCUUCCAUGCACUUAGCCCUGGGGCUUGCAGUUUUGCCAGGUCCUUACUGCCUCCUCCCUCCUGUGGCCUGCCCGGAGGGGCACACAAGCAAAGCCAGUGCCUCUGUGGACAGGCAGCUUAAGACAUUAGGAGACAAAUGAAGGAAGGAGGCAAAACUUCCAAGGCCGGACUAUCUCCUCUGGACCAGAGUUUCGGCCUGCUGGGAAUGGAGUCACCAGCCCCGGGGGGGCUGACAGGUGGCUCCCGCCUGCAGAGCUGUAACUCAUCCCUGCUGCUGAACAGGAAAGGGCCUGCCUUACCCAGACCCCAUCCUCCAGAAAGGGUUAGUCAGGCAAGUGUGCUGAGAGGCCCCUGGGAACCUCGUCUCGAUUAACCCAUCAGAAAGCAGCCCAUCCUUUGCACCCAGCUCUCAGAUGGAAAAGUGAAGCCCAGAAGGAAGGGACCUGACACGGAGGCUUCCUUGGUAGCGUUUCAGUCUCAAGGGAAGAACUGUGGGCCUCCCCUGGAGCACUGGUGAAGGAAGGGGUUGGUUUGGAUAUUGUCUCCUGACUGGGAUAUGGGCAGGACUGACAGGGAGCUGGAGUCCUAACGAAGCCUGGGCUAGGUGCAGGAAGAACCAACCCAGUGGUCUCCUGACAUCUCCCAUGCCCCCACCGCAGCUGGGUCACCUCCGGAAUAAGGAAGAGAGAGCUGGAGGUGGAGGAACUAAGGACCUUCUUUGCCAGGUGGGGACUUAAAGUUUCAGUUACCCAUUGCUGGGGCUCAGAAACCAAUACCCCGAAAUAUAGUGGUGUGACAUUCUGAACUGAAGAAGCCUUAAGGUCUCUCCGACCAGACUCCCACAGGCCCCCCAACCCUUUGUCUCUUCCAAAGCAUACAGUGAAGUUGUUCUCUGAAAUUCCUCAUCUGCCUUAAGUCUGGACCCAUCAAAGAAGAAAACAAUGACCACUGGUCCUUUCCCAGAGUUUUCUCUGACUGAACUCCUGUCACAGGAAGAAAGACUGAAGCCUGCUCACACACCUGGACAGAUUUUGCAAACCGUUGUCUGCUCUGUGAGCCCAACAGACUUUGUCCCAGGCCACUGUAUGUUCUUCAAGCCCACUGAAUUCCCCUGAAAAUCAUUUACUAGCCCCCUGAAAUUACCCACACUUCCUCAUUGCUCAUCUGUACCCCAUUUCGUGGUGGGGCAGUCACUCUGAUUUCCCCUUGCAUGCUAAUGAAUGUGUAUUCCAUUUCUAUUCUGCUUUUAUGAGCUGACUUUUCAGUGAACCUUCAGAGGGUAAAGGGGAAGUUUUCCCUUGGCCCCUGCACCGCAAUUGGUAAGGUCCAAAAUGUUAAAUGGAAAAUUCCAGAAAUAGCUGGUCGUGAUGGCUCCCGCCUGUAAUCCCAGCACUUUGGGAGGCCGAGGUAGGUGGAUAGCUUGAGGUCAGGAGUUCGAGAGCAGCCUGGCCAACAUGGUGAAACCCUGUCUGUACUAAAAGUACCAAAAUUAGCUGGGCUUGGUGGCGCACGCCUGUAGUCCCCGCUACUUGGGAGGCUGAGGCAGGAGAAUCACCUGAACCUGGGAGACAGAGGUUGCAGUGAGCAGAGAUCGCAC
rnacentral:lncRNA from 1 species